AUAAGAGUAUCUGUGGAGAAUACUGGAAGCUCAGUGGAUUCAAAAUCCAUUAAAAAUUCAGAAACAAAGAUCAUACAUGGAAGUAAAUCAAUGGAUACUGGAAUAUCCUUGGACAAUAGCUACAAAAUGGAUUAUCCUGAAAUGGGUUUAUGUAUAAUCAUUAAUAAUAAGAACUUUCAUAAAAGCACAGGAAUGGCGGCUCGCUCUGGUACAGAUGUAGAUGCAGCAAACCUCAGGGAAACAUUCAUGAACUUGAAAUACGAAGUCAAGAAUAAAAAUGAUUUGACCCGUGAAGAAAUUAUGGAAGUAAUGUACAAUGUUUAUAAAGAAGAUCACAGCAAAAGGAGCAGUUUUGUUUGCGUGCUUCUGAGCCAUGGUGAAGAAGGAGUAAUUUUUGGAACAAAUGACCUCUUGACUUGAAAAAAAUAACAAGUUUUUUCAGAGGGGAUUACUGUAGAAGUCUAACUGGAAAACCCAAACUUUUCAUUAUUCAGGCCUGCCGAGGUACAGAACUGGACUUUGGCAUUGAGACCGACAGCGGUAUUUAUGAUGAUAUGGCAUGUCAGAAAAUUCCAGUGGAGGCCGACUUCUUGUAUGCAUACUUCACAGCACCUGGUUACUAUUCCUGGCGAAAUUCAAAAGAUGGGUCCUGGUUUAUCUAGUCACUGUGUGCCAUGCUGAAACAGUAUGCUAACAAGCUGAAGUUCAUGCACAUUCUUACCCGGGUUAACCGAAUGGUGGCAACAGAAUUUGAGUCCUUUUCUUUUGACAUUACUUUUCAUGCAAAGAAACAGAUUCCUUGUAUUGUGUCCAUGCUCACAAAAGAGCUAUAUUUUUAUCACUAAAGAAUUGAUUGGUUGUUUGGGGUUUUUUUAGUUUAUGCCAAGUGAGAAAACAGUGUAACUGGUUCUGUAUUUCCCCCCUCAUUUAAAUCUAGCUUAAUGACUCAAAUGGUACUUUGAGACAUACCACUUUCAUAGAGUAGAACCAAUACAAAGCUACCUCAAACUCAGUCAGGUAGUCAAAAGUGAAUUUGAUUAGGAGUAAGUAAAAAUGAAUAAUGGUGCAGUCAUGAGAAGAAAUGUUUGUAAAUUUAUAGCUUUCAUAAUUUACAAGUUUUAGUGAUGCUAUGCCAUGAAUUUUCAAGUAAUUAUGAAAAAGUUAAAAUUGCAAUAAUGAAUUUUAAUGAUAUCCUUCCACUUGAGACUGUGCAUUCUAGUUUUUGUCAAACUAUAGAAAUGAUUAUAUGGAGGUACAUAGGGAUCC